rnacentral:lncRNA from 1 species
CCGCCGCUCCGCGCCGCGCGAGUCCGCGACCAGUCAGUCAGUCUGCGACCAGUGAAAGUGCUCGUAACAGAAUAAUGCGCUACGCUCCCGCCACUCAGUUCCGCGCCUCUGUCCACGUCCCCGUGCUCGCCUUCGCCUCCGUCCUCCUCUUCUGACUCCCCGCACCCUCUCUUCCCCAACGCCCCGCUCCACCCCCGAGAGGCACCCACCCCGUCCACCCCCGGAGUCAACGUCCAAAUGUCCAGCGGGCGCCGGUGACGCUUUUUUCCCUUCUUUUUUCAGUGCGUGAUUUUUCCUAGUUUUCGUGUGUCACCUAGGGGUCCGGUCGUGCCGUGUUUUCCCCUGGUUUCCGGGUCGAUUCAGUGGUAUUUGUUUAUUGCUGUGCAUCAAAGUGACGCAAGGAUGUAUUAAGUGGGAACGAGUGGAUUAUAUCGACAGUACGAUUGCAUCAGGGGACCGCAUCUGGGCGGGAGGCGGCCGACAAUGGUCACGCCAUUAUGGGGCUACCUCGCCAUCUCAGCUCUGGGCCUCAGCCUCGUCUGCUCGGCAUCAAAUAUGAUCCACCACCAUAUGGAUACACAUGAUCUCAGAAACGUUUUUCACGUGAACCUUCACGCAGACGUUCCGGAGUACGAGGUGGUCAAAGUGAGAUCGAUCCGGCGGCGGCGGGGGGCGGGGGUCCGGCCGGAGGAGGACAAGUCGAGGGUCAUGAAACUGCAGGCUUUCGGGCGCGACCUUGAGCUGACCUUGCGCAAAUCCGACGGCCUCUUCAAAGACAAGCUCCGCAUGUGGGCCGCCGAACCCAACAGCACCGGCAGCAUCAACUACACUGAGCUUCCUCACGAGUAUGUGGGAGAAGCGUAUCAAGACGAGGAGUCACAGGCUGCCAUAGUUCUACAUAGGGAUAAACAUGAUGGUACCUAUUUAAUGGUGAGUCUCAUCUUCUAAAUUGAACUAUAUUUACAACUUAGAUAAGAUUAUAGGAUUUUUCC